rnacentral:rRNA from 1 species
CCUACGGGUGGCUGCAGUGGGGAAUAUUGCACAAUGGGGGAGACCCUGAUGCAGCGACGCCGCGUGAGUGAAGAAGUCUUUCUGUGUGGAAAGCUCUAUCAGCAGGGAAGAAGCAAGACGGUACCUGACUAAGAAGCCCCGGCUAACUACGUGCCAUCAGCCGCGGUAAUACGGAGGGGGCAGGCGUUAUCCGGAUUUACUGGGUGUAAAGGGAGCGUAGACGGUAUGGUAAGUAUGAAGUGAAAGCCCAGGGCUUAACCCUGGGACUGCUUUUGAAACUGUUAGACUAGAGUGCUGGAGAGGUAAGUGGAAUUCCUAGUGUAGCGGUGAAAUGCGUAGAUAUUACGAGGAACACCAGUGGCGAAGGCGGCUUACCGGACAGCAACUGACGCUGAGGCUCGAAAGCGUGGGUAGCAAACAGGAUUAGAUACCCGAGUAGUC